rnacentral:lncRNA from 1 species
CUUCCACCUCUUCCUCUUCUACCAGUUCUUCUUCUUUCUCUUCUUCUCCUUCUUAGAUAGAAUUAUCCUUUAAAACAAAAUUAGUUGGGUUUACCUCCUCAUGUUGGCCAUCAUGUACGAAAAUUUUUAGAGCAUCCAACUCGACAUCUAUUGAAGAUCAAUGAAACUCUAAUAUUUCAUCCUCUUGAAAGUAUUCUGGUAAUUGGGGCUCUUCUUCUUCUUCGAACACGUAAUGAAUGGC